AGGACGAACGCUGGCGGCGUGCUUAACACAUGCAAGUCGAGCGGAAAGGCCUUUCGGGGUACUCGAGCGGCGAACGGGUGAGUAACACGUGAGUAAUCUGCCCAUCGCUUCAGGAUAGCCAUCGGAAACGGUGAUUAAUACUGGAUAUGACAUUCCUUCGCAUGUUGGGGUGUGGUAAAGUUUUUUCGGCGGUGGAUGUGCUCGCGGCCUAUCAGCUUGUUGGUGGGUAAUGGCCUACCAAGGCUUUGACGGGUAGCCGGCCUGAGAGGGUCGACCGGCCACGACUGGGACUGAGACACGGCCCAGACCUCCGUACGGGAGGCAGCGAGGUGGGGAAUAUGGACAAGUGGGCGAAGCCUGAUCCAGCAACGCCGCGUGGAGGAGUGACGGUCCGUUCGGGUUCGUUAAACCGUC
rnacentral:rRNA from 1 species